rnacentral:lncRNA from 1 species
AUGGCAUACAUGUUUCACAAGAUCUCAGGUGUAUUAACUUGGCCAUUACCAAAGACAUGAGUCAUACAUAGCAAUAUACCAAGCAACAACAAUACAAGGAAUCUGUCAUUUUUAGGACUGUUAACAGCAGCUGAGAAAAUAAGUUAUAGCUGGAGUUACACAACUCCAAAAGACAUGAAUUAAGACAUUCUGGAAAGCUUAAGAAAUUAUCUACAUUUGAUAUUUAGACAUAAAAGCAUGAUUCUCAACUUAAGCUGGUAGAAAUUAUAAAGUUCCAGAAUCUGUCCCUGACAAACAGAGAGCAGC